UACGUAGGGUGCGAGCGUUGUCCGGAAUUAUUGGGCGUAAAGAGCUCGUAGGCGGUGUGUCACGUCGUUCGUGAAAACCUGCAGCUUAACUGUGGGCGUGCGGUCGAUACGGGCAUCACUGGAGUUCGGCAGGGGAGACUGGAAUUCCUGGUGUAGCGGUGGAAUGCGCAGAUAUCAGGAGAACACCAGCGGCGAAGGCAGGCUCGUGGGACGUAGCUGAACGUGACGUGGAGGAGCGAACGAACGUGGGGAGCGAACAGG
rnacentral:rRNA from 1 species